CCCGAAACCAGACGAGCUACCUAUGAACAAUCCACUGGGAUGAACUCAUCUAUGUUGCAAAAUAGUGAGAAGAUCCAUAGGUAGAGGUGAAAGGCCUAACGAGCCUGGUGAUAGCUGG
rnacentral:ncRNA from 1 species